UACGUAGGGUGCGAGCGUUGUCCGGAAUUACUGGGCGUAAAGAGCUCGUAGGUGGUUUGUCGCGUUGUUCGUGAAAACUCACAACUCAAUUGUGGGCGUGCGGGCGAUACGGGCAGACUGGAGUACUGCAGAGGAGACUGGAAUUCAUGGUGUAGCAGUGAAAUGCGUAGAGAUCAUGAGGAAGACCAGUGGCGAAGGCGGGUCUCUGGACAGUUCCUGACACUGAGACACGAAGGCCAGGGGAGCAAACGGG
rnacentral:rRNA from 1 species